rnacentral:rRNA from 1 species
CAAUAGCGUAUACUAAAGUUGUUGCAGUUAAAAAGCUCGUAGUUGAAUUUCUGGUUGUGAAAGAUGGUCCGUUCCUCAAGGAAUGUGUACUAAUCAUUCAUGGCCAUCCUCGGGGAGAAUGUGUGUUACUUUCAGUAGUCGUGCACAGGAACCCCGUCAUUUACUGUGAGCAAAAUAGAGUGUUCAAAGCAGGCUUAUGCCGUUGAAUAUAUUAGCAUGGAAUAAUAAGAUAUGACUUUGGUCUAUUUUGUUGGUUUGCUUUCCAAAGUAAUGAUUAAUAGGGAUAGUUGGGGGUAUUCGUAUUCAAUUGUCAGAGGUGAAAUUCUUAGAUUUACGAAAGACAAACUACUGCGAAAGCAUUUACCAAGGAUGUUUUCAUUGAUCAAGAACGAAAGUAUGGGGAUCGAAGACGAUUAGAUACCAU